AAGAGACAGCAGCAGCCACGGGAAUACGAAGGGGGCUAGCGUUGCUCGGAAUGACUGGGCGUAAAGGGCGCGUAGGCGGUUUACCAAGUUAGAUGUGAAAUUCCUGGGCUCAACCUGGGGGCUGCAUUUGAUACUGGUAGGCUUGAGUAUGGAAGAGGGUCGUGGAAUUCCCAGUGUAGAGGUGAAAUUCGUAGAUAUUGGGAAGAACACCGGCGGCGAAGGCGGCGACCUGGUCCAUAACCGACGCUGAGGCGCGAAAACGUGGGGAGCAAACAGGAUUAGAUACCCGCGUAGUCCCUGUCUCUUAUAC
rnacentral:rRNA from 1 species